rnacentral:rRNA from 1 species
AUGCAGUCGAGCGGUAGAGAGGUGCUUGCACCUCUUGAGAGCGGCGGACGGGUGAGUAAAGCCUAGGAAUCUGCCUGGUAGUGGGGGAUAACGCUCGGAAACGGACGCUAAUACCGCAUACGUCCUACGGGAGAAAGCAGGGGACCUUCGGGCCUUGCGCUAUCAGAUGAGCCUAGGUCGGAUUAGCUAGUUGGUGAGGUAAUGGCUCACCAAGGCGACGAUCCGUAACUGGUCUGAGAGGAUGAUCAGUCACACUGGAACUGAGACACGGUCCAGACUCCUACGGGAGGCAGCAGUGGGGAAUAUUGGACAAUGGGCGAAAGCCUGAUCCAGCCAUGCCGCGUGUGUGAAGAAGGUCUUCGGAUUGUAAAGCACUUUAAGUUGGGAGGAAGGGCAUUAACCUAAUACGUUAGUGUUUUGACGUUACCGACAGAAUAAGCACCGGCUAACUCUGUGCCAGCAGCCGCGGUAAUACAGAGGGUGCAAGCGUUAAUCGGAAUUACUGGGCGUAAAGCGCGCGUAGGUGGUUCGUUAAGUUGGAUGUGAAAUCCCCGGGCUCAACCUGGGAACUGCAUUCAAAACUGUCGAGCUAGAGUAUGGUAGAGGGUGGUGGAAUUUCCUGUGUAGCGGUGAAAUGCGUAG